UACGAAGGGGGCUAGCGUUGUUCGGAAUUACUGGGCGUAAAGCGCACGUAGGCGGAUAUUUAAGUCAGGGGUGAAAUCCCGCAGCUCAACUGCGGAACUGCCUUUGAUACUGGGUAUCUAGAGUAUGGAAGAGGUGAGUGGAAUUCCGAGUGUAGAGGUGAAAUUCGUAGAUAUUCGGAGGAACACCAGUGGCGAAGGCGGCUCACUGGUCCAUUACUGACGCUGAGGUGCGAAAGCGUGGGGAGCAAACAGG
rnacentral:rRNA from 1 species